rnacentral:rRNA from 1 species
UACGGAAGGCAGCAGUGGGGAAUAUUGCACAAUGGGCGCAAGCCUGAUGCAGCCAUGCCGCGUGUAUGAAGAAGGCCUUCGGGUUGUAAAGUACUUUCAGUCGUGAGGAGGUGUUAAGGUUAAUAACCUUAGCAAUUGACGUUAGCAACAGAAGAAGCACCGGCUAACUCCGUGCCAGCAGCCGCGGUAAUACGGAGGGUGCGAGCGUUAAUCGGAAUUACUGGGCGUAAAGGGCACGCAGGCGGUUAAUUAAGUUGGAUGUGAAAUCCCCGGGCUUAACCUGGGAAUGGCAUUCAAGACUGGUUAGCUAGAGUCUUGUAGAGGGGGUAGAAUUCCAUGUGUAGCGGUGAAAUGCGUAGAGAUGUGGAGGAAUACCGGUGGCGAAGGCGGCCCCUGGGACAAAGACUGACGCUCAUGUGCGAAAGCGUGGGGAGCAAAACAGGGAUUAGAUAACC